GGCCUCGUAGUUCAGCUGGUAGAGCGUGCACUGUAUAAAAGCAUGGUGGCGUCCAUGCGUGGGUUCGAAUCCCACCGAGGCUA
rnacentral:tRNA from 1 species